UGGAGACAGGUGCUGCGAUGGCUGUCGUCAGCUCGUGUCGUGAGAUGUUGGUUAAGUCCCGCAACGAGCGCAACCCUUGUCUUUAGUUGCCAUCAUUCAGUUGGGCACUCUAAAGAGACUGCCGGUGUCAAACCGGAGGAAGGUGGGGAUGACGUCAAGUCCUCAUGGCCUUUAUGACCAGGGCUACACACGUACUACAAUGGCCGGUACAAAGGGCAGCCACUUAGCGAUAAGGAGCCAAUCCCGUAAAGCCGGUCUCAGUCCGGAUUGGAGUCUGCAACUCGACUCCAUGAAGUUGGAAUCGCUAGUAAUCGCAGAUCAGCACGCUGCGGUGAAUACGUUCCCGGGCCUU
rnacentral:rRNA from 1 species